UUGUGAUUGUAGCCCAGCACUACUUGGUUCUGGUAAGAACACUAGCUCAGGGGCUCGAGAGAUGGUUAAGAGCACUGACUGCUCUUCCAGAGGCCCUGAGUUCAAUUCCUAGCAACCACAUGGUGGCUAACAACCAUCUGUAAUGGGAUUCGAUGCCCCCUUCUGGUAUGCCUGAAGACAGUGACCAUGUAUGCACUCACAUACAUUAAGUACAUACAUGCAUACAUACAUACAUACUACACACACACACACACACAUUAGCUCAGGCUGGUUGAACCCCAUUUGUUCUCAGCAUCAUUUUGCACUACUUUUAUGUUCUAUUUUCUCUUUGCAUUGGUGUAAAAAAUGAGACCCGGAAGUCAGGCUCAUACCUGUUAUCCCAUCUUGUGGCAGCAGAGGCUGCACAGUGAACUGCAGGUCAGCCUGCACUGGCUCUCAGAAAGGAUGAGACAGUGUUGUUUUGGAGUGUUUAACAAGGAAAUUGUGUUACUUCAUGAAUCUUUUCCUUUUUCUCUGCCCUGUUACUCUUUUUUGUAACUUGAUACUACAUGGAAGGAAACUUUCUCAGUUCUUUCUGUCAGUGCCUUACUUAGCUGAAGAUCUGCACAGUUCUGGCUUCCUUUACUUUAGACAGCUUUUUUUUCUUCUUUUCAUUUUUUUUUCUUUUUUUGCUUCAAAAGUAGUUCUCUUAACAAUUAUUGACUUAGCCUUUCUGAUAUACCUGAAAAUUUCCUCUCAACAACCCAUAGAAUGCCAAUUGUGAGGGUAGAGUUUUACCUAAGACCUCAGCCCCUAGGACAGGCAGAUAUACCUUGGACAAUCACUUUUCUUUGAAGAGAAAAAUAGAAGAAAGAUUUUUAAUUGUGUCAAGAUGCACGUAAAAUUUAUCAUUUUUGUGUUCACCUCAACUGAUGGCAUUAAAUGUAUUUAUUUUUCAGUAAUUUUCUUUUCAUUGAGCAAAUGAGUAGUUAUAUACUGUUGUCUUGAGAGUUGCUCAGAACCAAAUAUUCGUUUUAAUUCUCAUUCAUCUUUUUUCCUCCAGACGAAGUUAUACGGAAACGUCUUCUGAUUGAUGGAGAUGGUGCUGGGGAUGAUCGGAGAAUUAAUCUCCUCGUGAAAAGCUUCAUUAAAUGGUGCAACUCUGGAUCCCAAGAGGAAGGGUACUUUAUUCCACUGACGCUUCUGUAUCAGUAUCCUGGUGGAACUUUAUUAAGGCCAUGUUAAAUAGUUCAAUUUACCUUAUCUGUCCAGUGCGGCCACCUCUAGACUGAUCAGAAGUUUGGUUUAUUUAUUUGUUUGUUUUUGUUUUUUUUUUUUUUGUUUUUUCUGUUCUUCUAUUUGGAGGUCUCCUUUAUGUUUGUAUAAUAUGCAGAUAGGACAUUAGUAAAAGAAGAAAUGAAGGCUUAAUAAUUUGAUUACUUUUAGCAAAGGAAGGUUUUUUCUUUGUUAAGUUAAAUUUAAGUUGCUGCAAAAUAAUUAUAUACUAAUAAUUACAUACUGUAUUAGUUAGGGUUUUACUGCUGUGCACAGACACCAUGACCAAGGCAAGUCUUAUAAAAACAACAUUUAAUUGGGGCUGGCUUACAGGUUCAGAGGUUCAGAUCAUUAUCAUCAAGGUGGGAGCAUGGCAGCAUCCAGGCAGGCAUGGUGCAGGAGGAGCUGAGAGUUCUAUGUCUUCAUCCAAAGGCUGCUAGUGGAAGACUGACUUCCAGGCAACUAGCAUGAGAAUAUUAAGCCCACACCCACAGUGACACACCUAUUCCAACCAGGCCACACCUCCAGAUGGUGCCACUCCCUGGUCAGAGAAUAUACAAACCAUCACACAUUCUAAUAAUUACAUACUAAUUUUAUACUAAUUUUGCUGGAUUUACUUUCUGCUUAAGUAUGAAAAUGAUGAGAACAGAAUUCUGAAGAAACUCUUAGUCAAAAUAUAGUUGGGGUUUAAUAUAGUUGGAUUUAAGAUGCAGACGAAUGCUUAGAUGAGAUGAGCACAGUAGUCUCAUUUUGCCUUUGUAACCAGAACAACUUAUAAAUUCACUUACAGCAUUCUAGCAAAGAAAAUAGUAAGAGUAGAUGUUCUAAGCUGUUCUAAGUUAAGCAAUUUUGUCAGAACUUGGUUUAGUGUACAAUUCCUUUUGAUUCCCUUUUUCUUUUUCAUAGGUAUAGCCAGUACCAACGCAUGCUGAGCACUCUGUCCCAGUGUGAAUUUUCAAUGGGCAAAACAUUGCUGGUAUAUGAUAUGAAUCUCAGAGAAAUGGAAAAUUAUGAAAAAAUAUACAAAGAAAUAGGUAAACAUAGUAAUUCUUUCUGGAAUUGUAUUUUUGUGGUUUAAAGCUAUCUGAUAACAAUAUGUGGAUUAAAGUAAAAUAUCAGUAAUUAAGAGUCAGCUGUCAGCAGCCACAGUGUUGAAUAAUAACAUGCAGCACUUCGUGUUGUAGAUAUUUUUAGAAUGCCAUUGUCUAUUGUGUUAUCAGUGGAAUGUCUAUUUAAAAGCACAGAUUAUAUAUGUUAUUAUAACUAUCUUUUUUAAAAAUAGAAUGUAGUAUUGCUGGAGCACAUG
rnacentral:lncRNA from 1 species